GUGAGCUCAGACCUACCCAGGCCUCUCAGAACUUGUGUACAAAGACGCCUCGGGCUUCCCUGAGGCAUAGCAGAAGGUGCUCUCCUUCCCGCCAAGCAAGGUGAGCAGGAGGGGUGGGGCUGUGACUGAAGCGGGAUGGUCUUGUGUGUGCUGUGGGGGCAGAGGUCCCAGUGCUUAGGAACACCCAGGGCAGCCUGAAGACCUACUUGCAGGUGAGGAGAGUGAAGCCUUGAGAGGCCACGAGGAGGCUGCUUGCUGCAAGGACCCAGCCCCUGGCUGCAGCUGUCGCUGUAAGGGCAGGAGACCAGUGGAGGCGGUUGAGGGGAGGGAAGGCAGUAGGGUCCCCUUGGGUCUGGAUGCAAGGUUUUGCCCAAGGAAAGGGGGUCUGGGUGUCCUCAGUCCAGGGUGAGGAGAGUGUGAAGCCUCUCACACUUCCUUUCUUUACAGGGCAGGGAAACUGAGGCAGGAGUAAGACAGUAGUGAGUGAGGAACUGGGAAGGGGCUGGAUUUGAAUCCCAGGUUACUGCCCGAGCGGCUGGGACACUCACGCUCUGUGAGCAUGCAUGCUAAAUUGCUUCAGUCGUGUCCAACUCUGUGCGACCCCAUGGACAGUAGCCUGCCAGGCUCCUCCGUCCAUGGGAUUUUCCAGGCAAGAGUACUGGAAUGGGGUGCCAUUGCCUUCUCCGCUAUAUAUGCUAGUGUUUAAAAAAAUAAAAUAAAAAAAAGCUAAAAUUAUGUGGCUGGAGAGAAGUCAGUAUGAGGUGGUCCCAGCAGCAGGCAAGGUCCCACACAACUUACCUUGCUCAGCCAUGCCCCAGCUGCUAGCAAGUGGAGGAGAAAGAUGAAGGUGACUCCAGUUUACACGAGGAAACUGACAGAGAGGUUCUCUCUCCUGUAAGCUGAGUGGCUGAGUGAGCGUGAACCUGAGUCUUCCAGACCCUUUUCUGAGCUCUGAACCCCUGUCAGCUGAGACGACUCCCCAGCUGCUCCGAGGGCCCAGGACACUCCCUGGCUGCCCUCUUUACUGUGGUGUGUCAUCACACAGCCCUGGUGAAUCCCAGCAGCUGUCUCCCUCUCCAGAUUGCACCUGCCUUCUCUUUAAAGUGGGCAUCUUUGACAUUCCCUGAAACACUCUUUCACAGUAUCAGGCAUUCCACUUGCACGUGGGGUGCCUCCUGCCCUGGGCCUGGGGACAUAGGGACUCACAGGCUGGGCAGACAGACCUUAAACCAAGAAAAAGGAUAUCCUCUGAAGGUGGGUGAAUGUGAUUGAGGCUUCCCAGAUUGGGCAGGGAGGGCUUCUCUGAGGAGGUGACAUUUGAGCUGAAGAAUGGAUGUAAAGAAGGAGCCAGCCACGGGGAGAGCUGGGGGCAGGGCAGUUCCUACAGAGGGCACAGCCUGUGCAAAGACGCUGAGGCAGGUUUAAGGGAGC
ensembl:lncRNA